UGUCAGAAGGAAUUGGCUUAAGGUCAGC
rnacentral:piRNA from 1 species